CCCAGCAGGUGCGACGGGCCGUGGUAGUCGUGAGGGGGCGUGCGUGGUCCGGGUUUUGUGGGGGUAAAGGCGGCUAAGGGGGCUGGGCAAGUCGGGUGUGAAAGCUCCAGGCUCAACUUGGAGAGGCCACUCGAUACUGCCCUGGCUAGAGUUCGGUAGGGGAAGGUGGAAUACCUGGUGUAGCGGUGAAAUGCGCAGAUAUCAGGUGGAACACCAGUGGCGAAGGCGGCCUUCUGGGCCGAUACUGACGCUGAUGCGCGAAAGCGUGGGGAGCGAACAGGAUUAGAUACCCUUGUAGUC
rnacentral:rRNA from 1 species